AGGCGGAGAAAGGAAGUCGGAAAACAGGUUAAAACCAACGUGUAAACCGUUUCUUCGGUUUGUCAGUUCUGUGAGAAAACUUAGUUACUGAAGAAGCCUUGAUGCUAAAAACAAGUUCUGAAGUCAGCCUUUCUGUCGAACAGGAGCGUUGAACACACCUGCGGCGCGAAAGUGUCACUUUGUCCACGACAUCGUCCACGAUCGCAGACACGUGGUCCAUGGUUGGAGAGGCAUUGUUGAGGAUGAGGGAGACAUUGUUCACGAUCCUAGACCUUGUCAAAGAUGAGCAAGACGUUGUCCGUGAUCAGAGACACUGUCCAUGAUUCGCAGAGAAAUGUGCAAGAAUCGCAGAUGACUGGGGUCCCCGACUCGACGGCAGCGCCCGUGUUUAGAGAGACAUUGUGGAUGAUCACAGAGACAUCGUCCAUGAUCGCAGAGAGUCAUCAUCCACGUUCAGAGAGACAUCAUCCAAACCAUGCUGAAUUCAAAGAAACAACAGGAUCUGCCAAAGGUGAAGGAGGAGGAGGGGCAGCAGCAGGUGCAGGUGACUCUUCUGCACCUGAAGUGAAUGGAAUAAAACAACAAGCUUCAUAUCAACAUACAGUUUGAUACAGUUUUCUCUGAUGAAGACUUGGCAGUCAAAGACGUCAGUGCCUCCACUGCAAAGCAAGAUGAGGUUCAUCUGCGCCUGUGUGCUGGAGAGGAGAUUCUGCCUUAUCAACGACGGAGAUGAUGUUCCACCGGACAGGAGCCAUGUUUAU